UUUUAAAGGGACCCCCGUCAGAUUGGAUUGGAGCCCAGAGGAAUGAUCCAAUUUUGGCGUGAUUACCUCUGCCAACAAACAGCCUGCUUUCGGAUAAAGUCACUUUCUGAGGUUCUGGGGUUUAGGACUCUUUUUUUUUUUUUUUUUUUCCCCUCAGAGUGACAGUAUUGAACCCUGAGAACUGUGCUGUGAAAGAGGUGUUAACGUGGCACCACUGAUGCUACCAGACGCACAGCAGUCUUUUAACAAGCACUUAGUGAGUGCCUGAUGGGCUGGCCCCCUUCUAGGACCCAGGGAUACAGCAGGGAAUCCAGCCUUCGCACUGCUGUGGCCUUUUCUUCUCUUUCGGGGGAUGGCUGUCAGAAUUGGGGAGUUGCCUCUUUUCUGCAAGCAGAGUGGGCUGCCUUGAGCCAGUCAGUUCCCCGUCACGAGGGUGUGGAAGUGAGGCCGACCGGCUGCUUACUGGCCACGCUGCAGAGGCGAUGGAAGUGCUGGGCUCAGCUUGGGGCUCAUAAGGGUUCGGGUUCCCUUCUGGCUCCAGGAUGGUUGGGUUGCAUGGAGGACUUGCUCUGAGAGUCCGUCUGUUUCAUUGGUUACACACGGCUUGACUUUUCUGUUUGUCUUACAGAGGAACAAGCAAAAUGUUUUCACAGCUUUCUGCUGAAACACACACCCCCGUUCUCCCAGGCACUGGGAUCUAACCUUUUUUGUUUGUGCCCGGUACUCCUUUGAGGAUAUCAUGGGGCCUUCGGCCUCUUUCCCCAGAGGACAAUCAAUGUAUUCAGAGCCCGGCAUUUUCGGUGCGAGUUUGGGGGGAACUAAAUUCAGUCCAUGGAACCUAAAUUAAGGAAUCCUGAUAGUGUUCAGAAAUUAUAAUCAUUAGUAGCAGUUAAAUAUACAUAUUUGCUUUAAGAGUGCUUUUAUUCUUAAAAACAAAAAUCAUUGAAUUGAAUCGAAUUAGAAAAAUAUGCCUGGGAGGUUUAUGUUAUCUUCUUACUAUAAUGGUGGUUUUGCUGAUAGAAAUGCAUCAGCAUGCAAUUAAUAAAGUAUUAUUGAUUUCAGAAUUACCCUUUGCUAAACAAUAGAAAUUUCCUAAAUAACUGGCAGGUAAUGAAAAAAAAAAAAAUUCAGUUACUGACAGCCUGUCAUAGUUGAAUCUAAAACCUAGGGGCAAAAUACAUAUAUUCUAUGUAGCUUCCAUUUCUAGACGCUGGAUUUCUAAAUUCUUCCUCAUAAAAAUUUAAAAUUCUUUUUUUUUUUUUGAAACACUCCCCCAUUAUUGAUUUCCUUCUUUUUAUAAUCUCUUCAUAGACUUGAUUUGCACACUGAAGGUAAUUAUUAAAAUUCGUCUCUUGGUGGUCAGUCAGUGUAAGUGAUUUAAGAAAACUGGAAAGAUUUGAUAUUAGAAUUAGCUGAGCAUCCAAGGCCUGACACUUAGUGUCCUGUCCAUGGAUGGUACAUGGUCGGUGUUGGUGGAACUGAAUUCCGGCUUUGCAACACUUCCAACAGCUUUGAAAAGUGUCACAGUUACGGCCUCUGUGGAAAUAGAAAUUACUCAAAUAUUAUGUGAUGAAAAACUAAUGUUAGUUUACUUAAAACCCUGUAGCAGUGUGUUAGAGCCACAGGAAGUUCUCAGGCAAAUGUUAAGUAAAUGCAAAGAAAACCUUUGUAAAAACGUCAUCAGGCUACAAAAGGACGAGGAGUGCCAGACACCCUGUAGUAGCUGGAUGUUCAAAGACACUUGGGUCCCCAGCUGUAUUGAUGGUGUCUUGGUGGUCAUUCACCUUGAACGUGAUUCAUUAGCUGCCGCACCAAAAAAAACAUCACUUGGUCCAAGUGUUUGUUGUGUGUAGGACGUUGCUUGACGUCACGAUGAUGGGAGAAUCGUUUUCAGUGAAUCUUUUUCCCUGAUAGACAAUAUUGUGCCAUUUUGCCUGGAAGGAUGAAAUCAAUACUUGUUGACUGCAAGGGAAGUUUGCUUUUUGCUAAUUUCUUAUUUAGGCUGAUCUGAGCAAAGAUGUUCAAAUUUUCAUUUAUUUAAACAAGAUGGAGUUCUUGCUACGCCGAAGGAGUAUUUUUAGUUUAGUAAUUUACUUAGAAACUGCCUUAUUCAAUAUUUGAUGUUAAAUUUGAACUAAAACACAGAGCAUCAUAUGACAUGGGUUCCUACAUUAACAUUUUGUUGGAUUGGAAACAGAAUCAACACAUUAGUCAUCUUAAUUCAUUUAGGUUGGCUUCCGCCAGAAUUCUGGAAUCCAAAAACAACACAUUUGUCAAUUUUACACACAAAGGGAGAGGCAGGAUGUAGUUUAUAGUUAAACAUCCAGCUUUGCAAUGGAAAGCCGAUGCAGUUAUACUGAGUUGAACGAAAUUUCGGGGGGGGGGUGAAACAAACGGUGCAGUAAGAUUUUGAUGCAAAUUGAAUACUUUAAAAAUUUGUUUUACAUUUGUUUAAAUGAGGUUCUCUUUAUAUAGAUGCUUUUAUAGAGUCCCAUCAACUGUCUAAAAUUGUUGUCCGUGGUUGUUAUCCACGUGGGUUCUUGGCUGUUGUGACUAUGAACAUUUUCUUUCAUAGAAAAUCUACGGGUCAAGUUCACCUGCAUGUCCUCCCAUGCUUUGUUCUUGUGUGGCUUCAGGCCAGCUUGGAACUGAAUGUCAAAAGUGCCUUAUCUGUUCCUGGGCUCUGUAAACUAUGGUGCAUGGGCCAAACCCAGCCCCCCCCCACCCCCCACCUGUGUUUAUAUGUAAAGUUUUAAUGGGACACAGCGACAUGCACUCAUUUACUUAUUGUUUGAGGUCACUUUGAUGUUUAAGGCAGCAGUUGCAGAGACCUGCAAGGCCCCAAAUACUUACUAUCUGGGCCUUUACAGAAAAAGUUUGCCAAACCCUGUUUAUUCUUUUAACACAUGUCUCUCAUAAUGGGAUUCCUUUGAUAAAAUUUCACAGUUGUUAAAAAAACAAAGUUCAUCUCUAGUAAAGAAUUGGUAUGUUGUUUUUCAUGUAAUAAAGAGGGCAAUGUAUUCUACUUCCGUUCUUUAUAGAGGUUGCCAGGAAGCUCAGAAUUAACAUUUUUCUUCUUCCUUAAAGUGGGUACACAUUGGAGAUCCUAUUGUGGCUUACCAGGUUAAGAACCCAGCAUAAUGUCUCUGAGGCUGAGGGUUCGAUCUCUGGCCUCACUCAUUGGGUUAAGGAUCCAGCAUUGCCCCAAGCUGCAGCAUAGGUUGCAGACACGGCUCAGAUCUGGUGUUGCUGUGGUGUAGGCCAGCAGCUAUAGCUCCAAUUUGACUCCCCUAGCCUGGGAACUUCCAUAUGCUGCCAGUGAGGCCUUGAAAAAAAAAAUAGGUUCACAUUCCUUCUUUUUCAUUUUUAUUUAAAAGAUGUUUCCCCCCUAUUUUUUGGCUGUUGCUGCAGCAUAGGAAAGUUCCUGGACCAGGAGUUUGAAACUGCACCACAGCAGCUACCCUAGCCACUCAGUGACUACACUGGAUCCUUAGCCCACUGCACCACAAGAGAACUACUCCCUCUUUUUUAAAACAAAUUCCACUUUUUUUGCGGUAUAAGUUACAUGAAAUACAACUCAUGUAUUUUAAUUGUACACAUUGAUGACUUUUGGCAAAUGUGUACAACCAGUUCAACUACCACUCCAACGAAAGUGUAGAACAUUUAUAUCCAAAGAACGUGUCCUCUUGCCUCUUGGCCCUAGUAACCACUGAUUUUCAUGUUGCUUUUCAUUUCCGUAUUUCACGUGGAUGUUUAUCAUAUAGAGCUUUAACGACUUAAUGUCUGGGCACCAGUGAUUAGUUGUUGAAUAGCUCAGGUACUGGACAAGCUGAGGGUCGUUUAUUCUUAGUCUCCUGCGCAGAUUGGUAGAUUGUUGUAGGAGAAUUUGAGAUGCGAAUCACGUGGAGAGCAUUUUGGCUAAUGUUGUUUUAAUAAAAAGCUUAAUGUAUCGAAAACUUGCCACUUGCCAAGGACUCUGCAUAGUUACUUUAUUUGAUUUUCCUAACAGCUCUGUCAGAAUACAUCUUCUUAAGAUUCCCCUUUACAGUUGAGGAUACUGAGGUUCGUAGGAGUUACGUGUAUUAGUUUCCUGUGCUGCUGUAACAGUACUGCAGACUGGGUCCCUUAAACAGUAGAGAUGGAUCGUUUCACAUUUCUGGAAGCGGGAGGUCUGAGGUCCAGUUGUUGGCAGAGUUGGUUCCUUCUGAGUGCCAUGAGGGAGGGGUCGGAUCCAGGCGUCCGUGCUUGGCUGGCAGACGCCUGUCUUGAUGUUCACAUGGCAUUCUCUCUCUUUACUUGCUGAGUCCACAUCUGUCCUUUUUAUGAGGACACCAUCAUAUUGUAUUAGUGCUCACACAACGACCUCACUUUAAACUGAUUGCCUCUGCAAAGACCCUACCUCCUUAGGUCUCAUGAGGAGGCUUAGAACUUCGUAGUAAGAAUUUUAAGGUAGGAGACACUGUUGACCCCCAGAGUAUUCAACAUCCUUCUCAAGGAUCAGAGGUUACCAGAAAGUGGCAGAGGCAGGAUUCUGACUCACAUCUGUCUGACUGCAAAGAGCAGCCCUUGCAAGAUGGUGCCAGGAAGUGGUGUGGCGGAUGGGGGGGCCAGCCUCCAGAGAAGAUGACUGAUGUCACCAAGGGGGAAGCAGCAAGGGGUUUAGAGGCAUGUGGUCCCGGAGGCCAGUCUUCACCUUGGAGUGCACUGUUUGACCUCACCUUGUCCACGUCUCAUUUUCCUUACCUGUAUAACAGGAUGACAGGAUUGCAUGCCACGGUGUUGAGGGCCGCAUGGGGCAGGUGUAGUAGUGUCUCUCUCUUUUUUUCUUCAGUUUUCUUAAGAGAAACUCCAAGGCGAGAUGAGAUUUCUGACAGAAUUCUGCUCUUCUCCCCUCAGGUACUGCCUGAGCAGUGAUGGCGUGACCACCUGGAGCUUGCUUCCUAGUGGGUGGGUCAGGAAGCCAUGGGGACCUUCCCUUUUCUCCUUUUAGACCAAGCUGAUCUGUUUUAAGUGCACACCAGUAUAUUAUUCUGCUCAGUUGCUAUAGUGAACUACCACGGGCUGGGCAGCUCAAACAGAAACUUAGUUUUCACGGUGGUGGAGCCUGGGAGUCUAAGAUCAAGGGGUGGGCAGCGCUGGUUUCUCCUGAGGCCCCUCUUUGCCUUGCGCAUGCUGUGUCCUCACGUGGUCCUUUCUCCGUGUGCUCACUGCCCUGCCGUCUCUCUCUCUGUCUCUCUCUCUCUGUCUUUUGAGGGCCACACCCGCGGUAUAUGGAUAUUCCCAGGCUAGGGGUCAAAUCAGAGCUAUAGUUGCCGACCUACGCCACAGCCACGCUAGAUCCAAGCCGUCUCUGUGACCUAUACCUCAGCUCACAGCAACACCGGAUCCUUAACCCACUGAGCGAUACCAGGGAUUGAAGCUGUGUCCUCACGGAUACUAGUUGGUUUUGUUACCACUGAGCCACAUUGGGAACUCCCCUGGUGUCUCUCAUCUUCUUAAGGACAUAAGUCCUGUUAGAUUAGGGCCCCACCCUUGUGACCUUGUGUCACCUUGAGCACCUCCUUAAAGGCUCUCUCUCCUAACACAGUCACAUCAGGGGUCAGGGCUCCACACCGGAAUUUUAAAGGUAUAUACUUCGGUCUAAAACCACCAGUACAGCUCCUGCUGUUUUCCCUCUAAGAAAUUCUUUGAUUGCAAGUUUAUUUCCUGUUAUAUAUCUGUGUCAAAGCACUGAAGAAAAGCUCAUCCACUUUGACUUCUAGAGCCUCUAAAAUGUUAUAUACUUGAGGGUCAGGCUGCGCAUUUGAGCCAAAUAAAAAUGGAGCUGAGCAUGCUUUGUCAAGCUCUCUGAUAUGGGAGGAAAAUCCCCAUUGGAAUCUUCUGUGGCUUCUCCCCAACUGCUUGGGCUCCCGCUGCUGGGAGCUGGGAGCACUCCAGGCGUGCAGUUUGAAUGGAAGCUCUGUGCAAGCUCGGAUCUUAUUUAGGGCCUGAUGCCUUCACCAGCUCUGAGAGCGCCCCCUCCUCCCAGAAUUGAAGUGCAGCCUGAUUCCUCAUCAUAGUAUUUGCUGUGUGGGGACUCCAGCCAUGACCCUCUUGGCCCAAAGGCUUGAGGGGUACCAAACACGCAUCUCUAGCUGGCAGAGUCCCUGGGAGCUGGGCAGAGCCAGCCUGCGCUGGAGGGCACCCUGGACAGCUCAGCCGUUCAUGCCAAGAGGGUGCCUGAUGACGGCUGAUGGGUAGGCUGCACGUUUCCUGAGAGGUACAGGUUUCAGAGCUGGUGUGUUUAACGGUCCGUUGUCAUGGUGACUGGAAGAAAAGGUUACCAACCUGAGCGUGAAAGACUCCUUCCCCUCUUCCCUUCCAACAAGUCUGGUUCUGUUGAGGCAGAUCCUCUUAGACAGCUCGAAAGGUGAUGGGGAGUUUGUUUUACAACUUUUAUGUCCCUGGGGACCCAGGCACUGAGAUCCCUGAGUGUGUUGUAUCAGCAAGGUGAGCCUCGCACCGUAAUGGUUCUUGGUGUAUUGUUCUGGGCAUCUCGGCUUGUGAACGAAAUGAGUUUGAUUUUUUUCUUCUGAGGGUUGCUGUACCUUCCACUCAGGACAGUUGUGGACCAUCUGACUAUUCAAGGUGACAUGAUAUCAGCAUUUGUGUUUCAAAACAAAACAAAGCAAGGGAGUUUCCAUCGUAGCUCAGCAGGUUAAGGACCUGACGUUGUCUCUGUGAGGAUGCGGGCUUGAUCCCUGGCCUCGCUAAGUGGGUUGAGGAUCUGGCGUUGCUGCAAGCUGCCGCAUGGGUUACAGAUGCUUCUUGGAUUCAGUGUUACUGUGGCGUAGGCUGGUAGCUGCCACUCUGAUUUGACUCCUAGCCUAGGAACUUCCAUAUGCCGUGGGUGAGGCCCUAAAAAAAAAAAAUUAAAAAAAAACAAAACAGAAACACAGCUAAGCAAGGCACUGUUACAGUUUAUAAAACUUAAAAGUGAUUGUAUUAAAGAGGUCAUGGGAGAGGGUCUGGUUAUAGAGAUUAUAUACUUAAAUGACUGCAAGGUUAGGGCUGCCCAUCAGUUUGAUGUUUUUGCAUUGAACUCAUCUUGCAUUAAAGUGCUGCACAUUUUGUCUCCUCAUUGUGUCUUUCAUCUUAGUAGUUACCGCUUUUUUUCUUUGCGGCCACACUUGGGGCACGUGGAAGUUCCCAGCCCAAGGAUGGGAUCCAAGCCGCGGCUGCAACCUGUGUCACAGCUGCUGCAAUGCUGGCCUCUUAACCCACGGCGCCACAGCGGGAACUCCAGUAGUUACUACUUCUUUGCCAGCCUCUGUCAACGUCUGAUGAUCGAUUUUGUUUCCACAGGAAUCCCUGAUUUUAGGACAGGUGAGGGGGGACCCAGGGAGUGCACUUGGUCGAACUUUCUCCCUGUGCAUCUGGCUUUGAGCAGUUGCGUCUUUAAAAUGUAAGAGUGAUGCAAAAUGAACAGUCAGUCUGGACCCUUUAAAAGUGAUUCUCAGCGACGUGCUGAAUUUUCCCAGCAUGGUGUUUUGAGCACCUCCUGAUGACUUUGG
rnacentral:lncRNA from 1 species